CAAGUUUUGUGAUUUAUGUAUGCUUACUGUAUUAUGUUUUUCUACAAGGGCUGCUUCAAAAGUCACCACAAAAUGAAGAUCAUCUCGAUCAUGCGUGGCUAACGGUGAUGUCUGUGCCAAGGUGAAUGGAGUUCAAUCCAUUUGGUGGCCAGUGACCUCUGGCACUCCCCAGGGCUCAGUACUGGGGACAGCUUUCUUUAACAGUGAAUGACUGAGUGCACCCUCAAGAAGUUUGCAGAAACCUGGAAAGCUCUGAAGAGUGGUAUGGAUAGGCUACAUCAGUGGGAUGAGAUCAACCACAAUAAUGAGAUUAAAUUUCACCUACCUGAAUAUUUUGAAACGUAAAAAGAAUGUUGUCAUGGUGUUAGCAGCUCACAAGAUCAGAGUUAAUAUAAUAAAUGCAAUAAAUGCUGGGAUGUGGCCACAGACAAUAAAUCAAUUAUUUAUUUACCUUCUGAAUGUCUCCCUUGGCCCUUCAAAACUGAAGGUUUGAUGAAGCUGAGGGUUUUUCAAAAGCAUCCAGAUACCUGAAGAAAAUUGGACACUCCUGGGCUUUGCAUUUAAUGCAGAUGUUUAUGUACAGAUCUUAUCUCUAAUAUGAUCCCUUGUUAUUAAAAAUCAGAAUUAGUUUGUCAACUCACCUGCAUGAUGAAAGCUGAUGGCAGCUUACUGCAGCACUGAGUGCACAUGGGAUCUCUCUCUUUGAAUGCACACACAGGAGCUAAAAAACACACAGAUACAUUCAAUAUGCAAAUAUUCAUACAUUUGCUGUGAAUUCCAAGAAUUGCUAUACAUAUUAACAUCUAAUACUGUGCAUGCACAGGGUUCUUGCAAGGGGUGGUCAUUGGGUUCUACUGGAGAUGCUAUCCAGCCAAAAGGUCAUGAACUAAAUAGGUCAGAACCCUUAUUUGGUCACAAAUUAUUUACAGAAAUUGGCUGCUAAUUAUAAUGUUGUGGUGCCUAUAGUACCAACCCAAGCAGGGCACAGUGUACAUCUCCACAGCUUGUGGAACGCUGAGACUCUGCUUUUAGGCUCCAGAUGUCCUGCUUAUCACAGAACAACAACCUUCCUCAGAUAGAAUGUCGGCUUGCUGAAGAUUCUGAAUUAAUUGCUGGGCAUCAAAGCUCUCAAGAAUUUCCAGUGUAAGAGCUUGAUAAUUGGAUCCAUUCUUAAUAGAUUUUGGUCAGUGUCAAGCAAGCCACUUUAGUGCUUAGGGAUUUGGGAUGUAGUGAACAAGAAUUGUUUGUUGGGUUCAGAAGUUUACAUUUAAAAUUGCAAACUGAAUAUAAGAAAGCUGUAAGGCACUUUCUUCGUGCUUUCUUCUCUGUUAAGGACACACUCUAAAAGACAGAAAGGGAGACAGCUAACACAGCUGUGCUUUUCUUACUGUUGGAGUGGUGUUAAGAGGUAGGUUGGGGAAAAUAAUGGAACAUAAACAGUUAUGUGCAGCUUUUUUUUAAUUAUUUAAAAAUGUUAGGCUGAUGAAAUUAUCACUAGCUGUUAGACCUCCUGAUGUUCUUGACAAGGACUUUUAAAUCACUCUGGGGCUAAAAGUCUGCAGGAGCAUAAAUUCCUGUUCUACCCUCUCUGUUUAGUGGAGGUCAGGUAUGAUCUUAAUGUUUAGUGUAAAGCUGUUCCUAAAGCAGUGCUUGAAACUGUUCUCUUUCUGCUGAUUGCGUGUAAGAGAGAAGAGCAAAAAUCCGUCUGUUAGUUUCACACAAUGUUCAGUGUUAUUGGUGGUGUCAGAGACUGAAGCAGCUGAAUAUGUGGUCCUUCAUGUGGAAAGGAGCCAUAGAAAGGCAUGGCUGCACUUCACAAGAUCAACGCUUUUUUUUACGUGCACGUUUUAUUGGCUUCCAUUCAAGUUUCAAGGCAAUCGCUGGUAAUUGUGAAAAGCUAAGAUUUGGGAUCUGAAUUUAAGAACUUCAAAAACUAAGUAGUCUUUGCAAAAGAUGUUAUAUCCCAGAGGCACUAAUUAGGCAUUCACAAUCUCAUUUCCUGUAUUUUUAUUUGAAAAAAUAAAUUGUUUGGCUUCCAGACUCACCCAUAUCCUUCUGAGUUUUACCAGUAUCUAUCCAUGGUUAAAUGCUGUAAUGAAUCCCGUGCCUUCAGUUCUGAGCAACCUUAAUUCCAAGUGAUUAACAUGGCAUCUGACAUGACUUAACCUCAGAGAAGAUUCAGUAAGAAUUGUGUCAGAGGCUUUUGGUGGGUAUCAGCAAAAUAAAGCUAAGGCUUAGGUAGUCUUAAAUAGUAAAGUUACUUCUCUGAGUGUUCAACCAAUGACUUCAGCUGUCUUAAAGGAAGAAAUCUAUCUUGGUUGAAGUAUUUUGACACUCACAGACACAAGUACUGCAGCUGGACACCUUCCAAAAGUGUGUUUUGUCUGAAAAGCAAUCACAUCUUAUAGAACACUGGGUUACUCAGCAAAGCUAUGUGCUUCUACUGCUCUGAGAAUAACACGGAGUACAUCAUCCAUCUGAUUUACUUCCCCACUCAUCUUUUCUUCAAACUAAAUCCUUUAAAACAGAGCACAAAUGAAGAUACAUUAAUAGAUGUCCUUUUUUUGAUUUUAAAUCCACUGUUAAAUUCAAUCUGAGCAUAGAUCAAAUGGGUGACAUCAACAGCAACUGCUGAAAAAUGCUUUUUGUUUUGUUGCUGUCAACCUUUCUUGCAGCAUUGCAGGUUGGUUUAAGAUUCCCUUCUCUUUUGCUGUAGUUAAAAUCUGUACAGACACAAGUUUUGCACACCUUACAGUGGGUUGAAACAAUGUAAUUCCUGAAAGGUGAGUUUCUUUCACUUUAUUGUUGAUGCCAGAUCCACAAUUUAGAACACAGCUACACUAAAAACAUAUUUAAACUGUAAGCCCUAUGUCUGCACUGUAUCUCUGUUAUUUAAUUCAUGGAGAUAGGAUAAAAUGAUACUUAAAUUUCUAGAACUGUGUCUGUCUCCACUUUUUGGUUUGGAGAAAUCAUGAAGUUUUCAGAGAGAUGUUUUCCUAAUCCAGAUUAGAUCGGUUUGAAAUAGUGAAAAUCCCACUAGAACAGCCUGGGAUUAAAUUAUCUAUUGUAGUUUUGUCUCUGGUGAAAACUGUCUGAGAAGAGCAACAGCAUUCAUUGAAUCACAGAACCAUGGAAUCACCAAGGCUGGAACAGACCUCCAAGACCAUCUCAUCCAGCCAUCCACCUACCACCAGUAUUUCCCCACUAAACCAAACACUAGCCCAAAUUUUACUUUUAAAUUCAGAUUCUAAACCAUCUCGUGUCAGGAUCUAAAUACCACUUCUUGGUUCUAGUUCUAGCCUGUAUGUAACCUACUAAUGCAAAACUCCCCAAACUUCCCAACCUCCUCUAUUGGCAUGCUAAAAUUGGUAUUGUUCUUGAAGCAGUAAGACAGGCCGUGCCUUAUGGAUACCCUGAGAAUCAUAAAAUAUCAUAUCAAUUAAUUUAAUACCAUUCUUAAUUUUAAUGAAUAAUUGAAUAUCACGUUCCAGGCGGCGGUUGUUCCUCCCAAUGGCUCUGGAUUGGAGUUGCAGUAACGCAGAGCAGCCAGCAGGUGGCGCUCUCAGCACAGUCAAGCGAGGAAUCCUCCCAGCUCCGAGUAUGAAUUGAGGCAAACACCGGGCGUGCAGAAACAGCGCUGAGAAUUCUUUUACCAUCAAGUAUCGAUCGCUGGUCCAUUUUAGUGCACGUAUAUGAGAAUGUCUACUGUCAGCAUUUUGCUUACCUGGAAAUGUAUUCUCAGUAUGGGAGGAAAUUGCCCUAUGACGCUCAGGAAUGGUAUAUGAUUUGAACCCUAAUGCUAACCCUAGCUGGCUGGUACUGCAGUGCUGUAGGAAAAACAUCAGCUCUGUGUCCCCAGGAAGCAGGGCCUUGCCAGGAUGCCUUUGCAGUCAUAUCAACUGACCAUAUCUUUUCCAAGAGCUGUACAAGCAGUUUCCUGAUUUGCACCAUGACUGAAACCUUUAGUAAGAAAAAGCCAUUGGAAUUGCAGCUGUGGACUUACCUAGCCAUAUAUCAUAAUAUCAUAGCCAUGAUAUCAUUAUAUCAUACAGCUGCCAAAGUGAAAGAAUGGGUGGCUUGUGGAAAGGAACAGCAAAGAAGGAGAAUAUUGCACAUGAGGAGAAAAAAACUGACAGAAGGAAAAACUGAAAGAACUUAGGCUUAAAUGGCAGCAGGAAAGGAGAUAUAAGGAUGAAGUUUAAUAGCAUUUUUGAACAUGCUUGCAACAGAUCAGCAACAAAGGUGAGAUACUUAGGAAUGAUAGAAGAUAAAUAAAUU